AAGAGUUAAUCUAACUCCCAAAACCAUGUGAACUUACCUAUGUUGCCUCGGCGGGGAACCUACCCGGUAGCUACCCUGUAGUUAUAGGCUUACCCGCCGGCGGACCAUCCAAACUCUUAAUUUUUUUUGGCACUUCUGAAUUAUUAUCAUAAUAAGUUA
rnacentral:misc_RNA from 1 species